GGAAUUUAGAAACAUAACUGGGGAAAAAAGAUAAUAAUUGCUGCUAUAACAAUCAUACCGACACAACAGCAUGUCUUAGAAAUCAAGUCCUCUCUAAAUAGUUGAAUGUAUGUGAGAAAAAUAUUCAGAAAGACUACCCACCACAUGAUAGUUCAAACAGAGAACAUUCACCGGGAUUCAGAUUAUUACAUUUCAAAUUAUCCUCAAACAGUUAUUAGAAUGUGG